UACGAGAGGGGCAAGCGUUGUUCGGAAUUAUUGGGCGUAAGGGUGCGUAGGCGGUUUGGUAAGUCUCUUGUGAAAUCUAUGGGCUCAACUCAUAGUCUGCAAGGGAAACUGCCGGGCUUGAGUGUGGGAGAGGUGAGUGGAAUUUCCGGUGUAGCGGUGAAAUGCGUAGAUAUCGGAAGGAACACCUGUGGCGAAAGCGGCUCACUGGACCACAACUGACGCUGAUGCACGAAAGCUAGGGGAGCAAACAGG
rnacentral:rRNA from 1 species